UACGUAGGGCGCAAGCGUUAUCCGGAAUUAUUGGGCGUAAAGAGCUCGUAGGCGGUUUGUCGCGUCUGCCGUGAAAGUCCGGGGCUCAACUCCGGAUCUGCGGUGGGUACGGGCAGACUAGAGUGAUGUAGGGGAGACUGGAAUUCCUGGUGUAGCGGUGAAAUGCGCAGAUAUCAGGAGGAACACCGGUGGCGAAGGCGGGUCUCUGGGCCGAAAUUGACGCUGAGGAGCGAAAGCGUGGGGAGCAAACAGG
rnacentral:rRNA from 1 species